rnacentral:rRNA from 1 species
UUCCCGUACUUGGUGUUACUGCGAAGGGGGGACGGAGAAGGCUAUGUUGGCCGGGCGACGGUUGUCCCGGUUUAAGCGUGUAGGCUGGUGUUCCAGGUAAAUCCGGAACAUCAAGGCUGAGGCGUGACGACGAGGCACUACGGUGCUGAAGCAACAAAUGCCCUGCUUCCAGGAAAAGCCUCUAAGCAUCAGGUAACAUCAAAUCGUACCCCAAACCGACACAGGUGGUCAGGUAGAGAAUACCAAGGCGCUUGA